UACGUAGGCAGCGAGCGUUGUUCGGAAUUACUGGGCGUAAAGAGUGUGUAGGUGGUGUCGUAAGUUUGGUGUGAAAUCUCCCGGCUUAACUGGGAGGGUGCGCCGAAGACUGCGAUGCUGGAGUAUGGGAGAGGAAAGCGGAAUUCCUGGUGUAGCGGUGAAAUGCGUAGAUAUCGGGAGGAACACCAGUGGCGAAGGCGGCUACCUGGCCCACUCUUGACGCUGAGGCGCGAAAGCGUGGGGAGCAAACAGG
rnacentral:rRNA from 1 species